rnacentral:lncRNA from 1 species
GCUGCAGCCGCCGCGGCCCGGGCGGGGCCGGGGUGGGGUGGGUUCGCUGGUUUGGAGGGUGGGUGGGGUUGGCUGUUUCUGGAAAGCUCAGCGGAGCUAAUCUAAUCUUCCAAGGCGCGUCCGCUGCCCGAGAGCAGCGCUCACAGUCCGCAGCGCCGGGAGGGCUCCGCGGCCUCCCCCUCCCGGCUCAGUAGAUCCAGAUCGUGUGAGUCUCUUUUAUUCCCGUUUUGCACGUGAGGCCACGGAGGCCGGGAUAGACCAGGAUCGCACACGUCUUGGGGGCCUACUCCGGACUCAAACCUACGUCUCUGUGACUCCAAAACUCAUAUUAUACUAUGACCUAGUAUUUGCUGGUGUAAGACGAAUGGUUCCGCUUUAGCGCAGAUGCAAGCGCCACCUUAUUUGGAGGACAGGCAGGUAGAUCUGCAGCUCACAAAGA